rnacentral:rRNA from 1 species
CCCUUAGAUGUUCUGGGCCGCACGCGCACUACACUGAUGAAUUCAACGAGCUCCUAACCUAGGCCGAAGGGUCCGGGUAAUCUUUGAAAUUUCAUCGUGAUGGGGAUAGAUUAUUGCAAUUAUUAAUCUUCAACGAGGAAUUCCUAGUAAGCGCGAGUCAUCAGCUCGCGUUGAUUACGUCCCUGCCCUUUGUACACACCGCCCGUCGCUCCUACCGAUUGAAUGGUCCGGUGAAAUGUUCGGACCGCGACAAGGCGGACGGUUCGCUGUCAGCUUUGCUGCGGGAAGUUCAUUAAACCUUAUCAUUUAGAGGAAGGAGAAGUCGUAACA